GGGGGAUAAGCGGAAGAAAUUCCGUCUAAUACCGCAUAAUACAAUUUGGAGACAUCUCCGGGUUGUCAAAGGAGUGAUCCGGCAGAGGAUGGACAUGCGGCGCAUUAGCUAGUCGGCGGGGUAACGGCCCACCGAGGCUACGAUGCGUAGGGGUUCUGAGAGGAAGGUCCCCCACACUGGUACUGAGACACGGACCAGACUCCUACGGGAGGCAGCAGUGAGGAAUAUUGGUCAAUGGGCGGAAGCCUGAACCAGCCAAGUCGCGUGAGGGAAGACGGUCCUAUGGAUUGUAAACCUCUUUUGCAGGGGAGCAAGGCGCGGUACGUGUACCGCGAAGGAGAGUACCCUGAGAAAAAACAUCGGCUAACUCCGUGCCAGCAGCCGCGGUAAUACGGAGGAUGCGAGCGUUAUCCGGAUUUAUUGGGUUUAAAGGGUGCGCAGGCGGACUGUUAAGUCAGCGGUAAAAUGUCGGUGCUCAACACCGGCCGGCCGUUGAAACUGGCAGCCUUGAGUGAGCGAGAAGUAAGCGGAAUGCGUGGUGUAGCGGUGAAAUGCAUAGAUAUCACGCAGAACUCCGAUUGCGAAGGCAGCAUACCGGCGCUCAACUGACGCUCAGGCACGAAAGCGUGGGUAUCGAACAGGCUUAGAUACCCUGGUAGUCCACGCAGUAAAC
rnacentral:rRNA from 1 species